UCGAAUAGUAAAAUAAACAUGUCAAGAGAAAAAAUAGUGAUCUUAUUUAUAGAAAUCUACUAAAGUAUGAAUAAAUACCUACGCAAGAGUAACAUAACAACAUAAAAUGUACUAAUUAAGGUUCAAUGGACUGGCACUGGUUUCACCAAGAACGAUGAGCGAGAAGCGAUUGGAGCUACAAAAUAAGAAAUGAGUUGGCGCGCGAGCAGCGAGAAGCGAGUAUAGUUCUGUUGCAACCGGAAAGCGAUGAUCACACGGCAAAUCAAAUCCUGAAGACUAUAGCAGCCACGUCAAAGAAAGAUAUACCUAUCUACCUACCUACCUACCUACCUAUUAAAAAAAAUGUUUAUUCUUUCUCAUUUGAUAUGUAAGAAUGUAUGUCAAUAAGAUGUUAUUAGUUAAGACUGCGUCGACCGUCCAAUGGCACCCUCAUUGGGGCAAUUAUGAUUUCUAAAAAAUACAAGGCAAUUAAUUAAACUAUCAUAUAAAUGAUCAUAUUAAUAUAAUAUGGGAUCCUAUUUGAAAGCAAUUUUACAAUCAUGAUCAUACACGCCAUAUUUGUUAAAAUUGUUGUUAUUUAAUUACCCUAUGAUUAAAAAUUAAAUUAAAUUGAUUUAAGACCAACAAAGGAUCAAUUUCGUCAUUUUAAUUUUAAUCUUUCAACGAAUGUUAGUAGGCAUACACACAAAUUUAUUAACUAACUACAUAUUUACAGAUGAUGGUGUAAUAACAACAAUUUUGUGUGGUACUAUACAGCACGUCCACGGAUGAUUUUAUUAUUUCUUUUGCGGUACAUAUUCAUGAAAAGAAAUGUACUUUUAUGUACUUAUGUUUUAAAAAAAUGUACUCGCACGGUUUUGGCAUA